GAUGAACGCUGGCGGCGUGCCUAAUACAUGCAAGUCGAACGAACAGACGAGGAGCUUGCUCCUCUGACGUUAGCGGCGGACGGGUGAGUAACACGUGGAUAACCUACCUAUAAGACUGGGAUAACUUCGGGAAACCGGAGCUAAUACCGGAUAAUAUAUUGAACCGCAUGGUUCAAUAGUGAAAGACGGUUUUGCUGUCACUUAUAGAUGGAUCCGCGCCGCAUUAGCUAGUUGGUAAGGUAACGGCUUACCAAGGCAACGAUGCGUAGCCGACCUGAGAGGGUGAUCGGCCACACUGGAACUGAGACACGGUCCAGACUCCUACGGGAGGCAGCAGUAGGGAAUCUUCCGCAAAGGGCGAAAGCUUGACGGAGCAACGCCGCGUGAGUGAUGAAGGUCUUCGGAUCGUAAAACUCUGUUAUUAGGGAAGAACAAAUGUGUAAGUAACUAUGCACGUCUUGACGGUACCUAAUCAGAAAGCCACGGCUAACUACGUG
rnacentral:rRNA from 1 species